rnacentral:rRNA from 1 species
CUCCAGGUUUUCAGCGGCGGACGGGUGAGUAACACGUGGGCAACCUGCCCUGCAGAUCGGGAUAACUCCGGGAAACCGGUGCUAAUACCGGAUAGUUUCGAGUCCCUCCUGGGACACGACGGAAAGACGGUUUCGGCUGUCACUGCAGGAUGGGCCCGCGGCGCAUUAGCUAGUUGGUGGGGUAACGGCUCACCAAGGCCACGAUGCGUAGCCGACCUGAGAGGGUGAUCGGCCACACUGGGACUGAGACACGGCCCAGACUCCUACGGGAGGCAGCAGUAGGGAAUCUUCCGCAAUGGACGCAAGUCUGACGGAGCAACGCCGCGUGAGUGAAGAAGGUUCUCGGAUCGUAAAACUCUGUUGUGAGGGAAGAACAAGUGCCAAUUAACUACUGGCACCUUGACGGUACCUCACCAGAAAGCCACGGCUAACUACGUGCCAGCAGCCGCGGUAAUACGUAGGUGGCAAGCGUUGUCCGGAAUUAUUGGGCGUAAAGCGCGCGCAGGCGGUCCUUUAAGUCUGAUGUGAAAGCCCACGGCUCAACCGUGGAAGGUCAUUGGAAACUGGGGGACUUGAGUGCAGAAGAGGAAAGUGGAAUUCCACGUGUAGCGGUGAAAUGCGUAGAGAUGUGGAGGAACACCAGUGGCGAAGGCGACUUUCUGGUCUGUAACUGACGCUGAGGCGCGAAAGCGUGGGGAGCAAACAGGAUUAAAUACCCUGGUAGUCCACGCCGUAAACGAUGAGUGCUAAGUGUUAGGGGGUUUCCGCCCCUUAGUGCUGCAGCUAACGCAUUAAGCACUCCGCCUGGGGAGUAC